UACAGAGGUCUCAAGCGUUGUUCGGAUUCAUUGGGCGUAAAGGGCGCGUAGGCGGCCUUGUCAGUCAGGCGUGAAAGCCCCGGGCUCAACCUGGGAACGGCGCUUGGGACGGCGAGGCUGGAGUUCGGGAGAGGAGAGUGGAAUUCCCAGUGUAGAGGUGAAAUUCGUAGAUAUUGGGAAGAACACCGGUGGCGAAGGCGGCCUGCUGGGCAGUGGCUGACGCUGAGGCGCGACAGCGUGGGGAGCAAACAGG
rnacentral:rRNA from 1 species